UUGCUGAGGCCGGUCCUGUAGUCAAAUGGCUGAUAGAUCAGAAAUAUUAUGGGGGAACAUAUGGGCAAACCCAAGCAACAGUUAUGGUGUUUCAAGCUCUUGCUGAAUAUGAGAUUCAGAUGCCUACCCAUAAGGACUUAAACUUAGAUAUUGCUAUUAACCUGCCAGAACGAGAAGUGCCUCUAAGGUACAGCAUUAAUUAUGGAAAUGCUCUCGUGGCCCGGACAGCAGAG